GACGAACGCUGGCGGCGUGCUUAACACAUGCAAGUCGAACGGAAAGGCCCUGCUUUUGUGGGGUGCUCGAGUGGCGAACGGGUGAGUAACACGUGAGUAACCUGCCCUUGACUUUGGGAUAACUUCAGGAAACUGGGGCUAAUACCGGAUAGGAGCUCCUGCUGCAUGGUGGGGGUUGGAAAGUUUCGGCGGUUGGGGAUGGACUCGCGGCUUAUCAGCUUGUUGGUGGGGUAGUGGCUUACCAAGGCUUUGACGGGUAGCCGGCCUGAGAGGGUGACCAGCGACAUUGGGACUGAGGUACGGCGCAGACGCCUACGGGAGGCAGCAGUGGGGAAUAUUACACAAUGGGCGGAAGCCUGAUGCGGCAACGCCGCGUGCGGGAUGACGGCCUUCGGGUUGUAAACCGCUUUCGCCUGUGACGAAGCGUGAGUGACGGUAAUGGGUAAAGAAGCACCGGCUAACUACGUG
rnacentral:rRNA from 1 species